UACGUAGGGUGCAAGCGUUGUCCGGAAUUAUUGGGCGUAAAGAGCUCGUAGGCGGUGUGUCGCGUCGGCCGUGAAAACCUGCAGCUCAACUGUGGGCUUGCGGUCGAUACGGGCAUCACUGGAGUUCGGCAGGGGAGACUGGAAUUCCUGGUGUAGCGGUGAAAUGCGCAGAUAUCAGGAGGAACACCGGUGGCGAAGGCGGGUCUCUGGGCCGAUACUGACGCUGAGGAGCGAAAGCGUGGGGAGCGAACAGG
rnacentral:rRNA from 1 species